CUACCCUUGCUGCUAGCAGGUUUUCUUAAAUUAGAGGUAGUGUAUUGUGAGCAGAAACUCUCUGGUAAACUGCUGGUUGAGGCAGUUGAGAGUGAUUUACAGGAGUGAUAGGCCGUUUGCAGUGUGACACUUUUAAAAGCCAAGGAACCGAUCAAAGUGAAGUGUCUGAGGUUAUGGGAAAGAUUCUUCUAUGCGCAUAAAGAAAGUUGUCACUGCAAACUGGUUUCUUGCUUGCCUUGUCACCUGUUGCUCUGACAUUUUUUAAAAGAAGAGGCCUUCACUCAAAGUCAGGAGAUGACAUGACUAAUGUGACACCCCAGUGCAAAUAUGUCCAACCCUGGCAUAUGCUGCGGACCUGACACAGCUCCCCUGUACUUGGGGAUUCACUGACGCAUUUGUGACUGAACAGAGUCCUCUUUAUCUGCCAGUGGUAUUUCUCUGAUGAGCAAGACCAUUUGUGACUCAGCGCAAUUUUCUUAGGCAUUUGAUCAUGACCUCCCUGCAGAUAGAGGCCAGAUUCCCCCCGACUUUAGCGGUCUGGUUUCAAAGACAAGAACAGCUUGGAGCAAGGACUACAGCAGCAGCAUUUUUGCAGCCAGCCCAGGGAUUCUCAAAGCUGUCACAAACCGAGAGGAAAGCCUGGCAGGUUUCAAAGAGCCAUUAGCCAGCUCUGUCCCUUUUAUCUCAUUGUGGAAAUGCGUGAGGAAGCUACUGAGGUGUGGAGCUGGGCAGAUCUAGGUUACUCCUUACUUUGAUGGAUUUCCUUAAUUUUCUAAAAUGAGUAUAAACAAAGUGUCGAUGCAAUUUACAUCUCCAGUGAUAUGAAAGCUGAAAUAUGUCCUACAAGGGAGAGUAUGUUUGGGUCUCUAGAUAAGAAUACCCCAUCUCUGAGAACACAUACCCCACCUCUGGAAAUAUUUUCACAGUGCCCUGUUCAGCUGCUAGUUCAAAGGCACAGAAAAGUUGUACUGCAUAGUUAUGCCCUAAGGGAUCAUUUAGUGACCAAGAUUAUUAUUUACUUUUUCCCUCAGUCUCUCUUAUUUUAGAUAUUAAUAAUAUUCCUCACUCUUGUGUCUCUAGACAAUGAACAAGCCAAACUGGGCAACUUGGUUAAAUACCAGCCUGGAAGUUAAAGGAUGUUUAAACUUUCAAAAAGUGAAGCAAGUGUAUUGUCCUCAGGUUUGAGUGGUGGCGUGGUAUGCCCCACACAUCAGAGGUUUCCCUCUGAGGAGACCAAUGACAGCACCUGCAAGCCUGGCUGGGUAUAUUUAGAUCCUGAUGACCUUUUUCUGUUCAAAGACCCUAAUUAGAAAAGGACUUAAGUUGAAAGCUCCAUGUAGGGGAGCUGAGCAGAGUAGGGGGGAUCAACCUCUGAAACCAGGUCACUCUGUGUGAUAGAUCUUAAGGUUAGAUGGUCAAAUUUGGAGGUCUUGGCUAGAAGGGUGGUGCUUUCUGCCCUGAGAGUGUUCCUGAGUGCUCAUGCUGAACAAUUUCUCUCAAUGCGCUUUGAGGGCUGUACCUUGAAGAUUUUGUGGACCUCAUAAUAGGACUUUGUACAUCACAACCAGCUAACUUACAGCACGUACAGCACCAUUUACAGUAACAUGGAGACACUUACAGAGGCAAUGGAGGAAUAAUAACCUCUUCAUGCUAUUGCAUGGAUCUUUUAGAAAUACUUUAUUCAUAAGUAUUUAGAGAGAAAAUCAAAUGCCAAGGGACCAAGAUUAAGAAUAAAACAGCCCCUAGGACUGAACGGUGUAACUACUUUCAGAAGACAGCAGAUCUAGUUCUCAUGGGGCAGCUUUGCCUUACAGAAGAUGAGAGGCAGGAUAACUCCAAUGUCAAACACAGGGACUGUGAAUGGAAUGCAAUUUACCAUUUAUAACAGUGCCUGUGUAAUGGCUUGGAUUUUCAUAAAAUGGGCCCAGAAGAACUGCAAAAUCGCAACACAAAGUGAACACUGACAGUACAUAAUCAAACAAGUUUUCUGUACAAAGCUGCAGUGAAAUAAUUUUACAUUUAUCAUCCCACUUAAUUGUAAUGAGUCUAAAACUAAUGAGCCUUACCUCUAAACUCCAUUUAAGACAAUAGUUAAUUGCCUCAUUUUAAUAAAUGUUGGCAGAAUGGUGAGUAUAACAAUGACUGAGCGCUUGAUUACUACCUAGGCUAGAAAAUGAAGAUAUAGCGUAUUAAUGAUAUACACAAUCUGAAAAGCAAUUAGGAUCCUGAAGGUAGAAUAGGCAACUCACUUAAAAACAGGGUAAUAAAUGAACUUUCUGAUGAAACAUAAAGCAAAAAGAGGUUUCAGAAGAAAGAAAUUUCAUUGCCUGUGAUUUUAGCUUGAUUCAUUUCUUCUUCUCCUCCUCUCUAUCUGUGAUGUGUUCAAAACCUGUCAACAGUAGUGCCAUGGGAACACAAGAGGGAUGAGCAAAGAGCAAUACAUUCAUGCUGAACAGCUUGUGCUGUACAGGAUAAAUGUAUUAAAUGUGUUAGAGAGCUUAGGCUCUACUGCAGCAGCAAUAAAGGAAAGGGGCACACAGCAGAUCUGGAAAUUGAGGGUCAGAAAUGAGGAGAACUGCAGCUGCCGAAAAAGCCCAUGGGAAAGCUAUGAACAGAAUUAAUCUUCGCUAUACAUAUGUUCUACACCUCAGAAAUAGUGUUGUACUUCUAACACUACAAAACUGUGGUUCCACUCCCCAUCUAAGUCACUGCACUGCAAAUGUCUUGCUGUCCCUGGUUGCUUUUGCUCAUCUGCAUUGAAAGCUCUAAAGAGUAGAACACAUCUCUUCAUAAAUGGUGUGUAACAAUAGCUGUUGGUUCUUCAGGACAUCUCCUGAAUGUCCAUUACUGCACCAAAGACACCUCAUGUGAAGUACUCUUCCCAGCACAUGCCUUCUUCAUAUUUCAUUGCCAUUUACCCCUCUUAACAGUGCUGUCCUCACCUUGUAGGGAGAGGAGAAGGCACCAGGGCAUUUGGGUAAGAAUUACCAGGGGGGAAUAUAUUUCUUUUCUGUUAUUCCUACCUAUGUGUACUUUUUCCUCAGGAGCAAUGUUGAUGGUUCAUUGUAAGAAUGUUUACAUGUAUAGCCUUCUUCACCAAACAAUGAGUCUCUUUUAUACAAUUUCUCUAUCAUUCAAAUCUUUGAAAUGCAUAAUAUUAGACUUCAUCUCUAUUUUGUCCCAUUAAGAGAAAUUAAUUUUU